rnacentral:lncRNA from 1 species
AAGAUUCUGGUCCCCCAAAGCCGGACGCAGCCGGACCAGCAGUGCCCGACACAGAAGCCCUUUGUUCCCUGCUCUAGGGAGAUGCUGCUUGGCCACCUUGGGCCUUUUUGGGGAACAGUCCUGUCUGUUCCCAUUUCCCUCGCAGGGUUUCAGGUCCUUUGCUCCCAUCCUCGGAGAGGUCAACUUCUGCUGCAGAGUCUGUGGCGGCUUCGACCCCUGCGAGCUCUGCGGCCCCGGAGUGAUGGGUCUCCCUGCGCGGACCUCUCCAACUUAUUCCGGAAGUAGCCCGACGGGGCAGCUGUGGCUUCUGAGCCAACAUGUAGAGCAGAUCCAGGGACCCCAGGCUGCUUAGGCAUGGGUGCCCAUGCCAUCUUGGGAGGCCUGGCAGUGCCCACUACUUGCCAAAGAGCAGAGCUGUAGAGGGAUGUGGAGAAUGGUCUCUUUGAGGUUCAAAAGGUCUUUGUUGGCCAAUUCUGGGCUACCUGUGUGGUGCCUGUUGACAGUAUGAUCAGCUCCUGUGCUCUUAACUGGAAAGGGCCUGCAUAGUCAUUGUAUUGAGUGACUAAGCAGAGAGCUCUCCAGAUCCUGGGGAAGAGGGACUGCGAGAAGGAAGCAGUUUGGGUUGAAAAUUGAAGCAGGCUUGGAAGAGGCUGUGUGAGUCCAGAGACCACGGCUGUCCACAGCUUGGGAAAGCCUCACUUACAUCAUUUUCUUUACCUCCGCAACAGAAUUCAGAGUUUCGUGUUUUCAGCUCUGUAGGCUUUGUGCGUCCAGCUGGACUCACAAAAGGUAGCUGGAGAACGAGACACACAUGUGUAGCAUGAUGACUACAUUUCUUUUGCUCAGAAUUUUAAGAUCAAGGGAGACAUUUUAAAAUACUUGUGCCAGAGAUUGGUGUUCGGAGAGCUUUUAAAUUAAGCUAUGUCAUUACAUCCUUUCCCCUUGCUUGAACAAAGCAUUCACUAUUAGGCUUUGCCUGGGCGGGGUGGGGUCGGGGACUAGACUAUUAUUCUUUCUUGUAAAAUAUUUGUCUUUGUAGACCUACACAGUCAGGACUAGACUCAAUGAAAAAUACUAGGUUCAGCAUCCUGCUCUUGGAAGUGAGCUAGGGUAUCCGUUCUUCUCCUUCACCCUAGUCCCCUUUCUUUCCUCUCUCCUGUCUUCCCAAAGAUCUGCUUGUAAAUCUUUUGUAGCAAAUUCAGUGAGAGCAGAUUGCUUUAGUCCACUUUUCUCAACCUGGCCUUUAGGUGCCACUGAUGCCUUUAAUGAGGCAGGUGGGGGAUGAGGGGGAUGAGAGCCCCUCCCCCAUGAGGGCCCUUGAAAAGCACUAGGAAGAUAGUAACAGUGUUUUGAAAAUACAUCAUUAAUGCUUAUGAAAAUGAUUACAUCCAAAAAGGUAGGAUUCCCUCUGUGGAAAGGACACUUGUGUCUGAUGUCCUUAAAAGACAGCACAUGUUUAUAAAGUUAGGACGCUUCUCUCAUUGUAUUGAAUCAGUUAGGUAUCAGUAAUACUGGCAGAUAUUGGAAAGCCUGGCAAAUAGGAGUUGCAAUUAAAGUUGGCAUGGCCUCUCUCUGAUUAAUUUUAGUUUAUAGUGGUUGAACCCAAAGCUGCUUUUCCAUGCAGUGUAGGAGAUUACCCAAGAGCUCAGUUACUGAGUAGAUUAAAGAGAGACUGGAUUUGGUCAUUCUGUCAAAUUGCAGGCUGGCUUCACUCAGCCUCUGUGAGGAGUGGGUGUGGCAGCAGUCCCAAAGGCACCAGGGACUGCAGCUAAGUCGUAUGAUUUGCACCUGACUUCCUCAUAUAAACCACAAACAUCUUGAGAGUUGUGCAGGUGUACCAGGAUACCGGUGAAUCCAUUUUGAUGGAGAUAUGCCCCUGCUGCCCUGAUUAGCUGAAGCUGCGUACCUGGUGAGGUGGCGUGGCCUGCUGUGCGUGGAUGGGAACUGAGAAUAUAUAAGAGUGAGAGGCCCAGGGUUCGGGGGAGAUAUAAACAAGGGAGAUAAUAAACAAGGGAGAUACAAACAAGGGAGAUAUAAACCAGAAGAAACAGGACUGAAUAAACGUGUGCAGAAGGAUCCUGUUGCAGUGUCGCUCUUCCUGGCCAGUUGGGCGCGCACAACAAGUGGUGCCGAAACCCGGAACAAGAAACAUCUUCAGGCACGAGCAAAGACCCCCUGCACAGUGUUAUCAGAACUGCAUCAUGGGGAAGAAGCGGUUAAUAAAAGUUCCCAUAAAACAGACUGUUGAGAAGGAUUCAGAGUGGAUUCAGAACUCUUCAGCUGGGGAAUGGUGGUAAUGAAGUGUUCCUGCAAAAUAGACUGUUGAGUAGGAUCCGGCGUGGAUUCAGAACUCUUCAGCUGGGGAACGGUACUGGUAAGUCUCCCAAAUUGAUCCCUGGGUUAAAGGGGGAUAUUUUUAAGAAAAAGAAAAGGGAGGAAAAAUAAAAGGAACCAAAAAAAAAGGAAAGGAAAAAGGAAAAAAAAAGAGAGAAAGAUGAGGAAAAAGAUGAAGUGAGAGAGAUGAAGACUGAAGUUUGCUGAAUAAACUGCCGUUAGAAGGACUGGUGGUCGUGUCGUUCUUGCUGGUCGAGAGCAGACGUGAAAAUUGGUGGCCCGUACGGCGAACUGACUCCCCCACUGAGUUCAGAACUUUCAGCAGUCAGUGGUUGCAGGCAGGGUAAGUUCACGGUGAGUGAAACUUGCGACCCCAGGAGUUUGGGAAGGACCUCGGAUAAAAUAGAGGCGAAUAUAAAGUUGCCAGGAAGCAGGCACAAGGUAACGAAAGGUUCCUGGCUUUGGGACAAGUUAAGGUUCCUGGUUUUGGGACAAGUUAAGGAAUUAUGAUAACCUCAGUGUAGUGAUCAAUAGAUCCUCACUGUGUAGUUAUGCUUUUUAUUCCCAUUGACCCUUUGUGGGUAGGUCUGAUAGUUUUGGUCUUGUUUGUUCUGAUAUAUGGACUCUGUUACUGUUUGAAUCGAGAGGCAGUCAAGACAGGUCAGAAAAUCCUUAUAGAGCAACAAGAAAGUAUGUCGGAAGAGGAGAAGGGCUUAAAAAGAAAAAGGAAAAAGAAAGGAGACACAGUGUUAUCAGGUGGACAGAAAAGACGAAUCAAAAGAGCCGAGGUGGAGGAGGAAGGCGAAUUAGCUCCUGUGCCUCCUCCUUAUGCCUCCUCAGCAGCCACCUAUAGGGGGAUCUUCUGUCCGGAGGUUUGGAGAGAGGUUAGAUUCUCCUUGCUGGGGUGUCCUAUUUUCACCGACCAAGCAGGGCAGAGAUAUCAUGAGCCUCUAGAUUUCAAAGUAUUCAGGAAUUUGGCUGAGUCCGUGCAGACGUACAGCUUAACUGCUUCCUAUACUGUGGCUCAAGUAGAGGCCUUGAAUAUACACUGCAUGAUGCCGUCCUAUUGGGCAGGCUUGGUGAAGGCAUGCCUUUCACCUGGGCAGUAUUUAGAUUGGAAAGCCUUCCUUAUUGAAUUUGCAAAUGAGCAGGCAGCUGCUAACACUGCUGCAGGAAAUCCAGCAUGGGAUAGGGAUAUGCUGCUUGGUCAAGGUCGAUUUGUACAACAACAAACAGGAUAUCCACUGCAGGUGUUUGAGCAGGUGAAUCAGAUUGCUAUAAGGGCGUGAAAAUCAUUGCCCAACAGAGGGGAAGCUAGUGAAAACUUGACUCUCAUAUUGACUCCCCAGAUGGACACACAGGUGAUUGAGGUUAUGGUCUCAUUACCAUGAGGUAUUGUGUCCAUCCCCCCUGGGGAUUGACCAGAUCCGGUGUUGAUGUGGGCGAGAGGGUCUGUUUGUGUGUCUCCACAGGACCAGAGGGAACCUCUUUGGGUGCGAGAGAGAUUGGUGAAAUGCUGCAAGAAUGAGGCUCCUUGCCGGGCGUGGUGGCGCACGCCUUUAAUCCCAGCACUCGGGAGGCAGAGGCAGGCGGAUUUCUGAGUUCGAGGCCAGCCUGGUCUACAAAGUGAGUUCCAGGACAGCCAGGGCUAUACAGAGAAACCCUGUCUCGAAAAACCAAAAAAAAAAAAAAAAAAAAAAAAAAAAGAAUGAGGCUCCUGAUCCAGUUGCCCCUGUGGAUGUGGUGGAUGGUCCCACAAGCACAAACGAUGGAGCCGAGAUGGGAAAUCCUUUUGGUGUUCCAGAAGCUGAUACCAGCUCGACGUGACGUUCAAAUUUUUACAUGCCUUUUUGAUCCCUGAAUUCCCCUUAAAGAGAUAGCCCCUCUGGCUAUCUAUCCCUUGCUUCAGGGAAGAUGAGUGGGGAUGAGAGCCCUGGGAUGUAUGCUUGUUAUAGUGUAAAGGGCUGCAAUAUAUGUGCCACAACUAGAUGGUGCUAAACCUCUUUGUGCACAGCUGCGAGAGCACAGCCCGCCAAAGUCACCAGUCCGUCUCCUGGGGCUUUUGCCCAACCCCUGGGGGCUUUAACCUAUCCCCAGGGUGCAUGAGGAUCAUGGGUGUUGCUACCAGUCCUAGUUUAGACACGUCACCAAAAGUAUUUAAGCCACACACUUUCUGAGCCUUCUUUGUCUACCUCAAUAUGAUAUAGAAGUAAAGCUAACCACGGGAGAACUUGGCGUGUCCUGUGUUUAUUUCCUGCGGGACAGGGAUAAGCUCGGGAUACUUGGUGCUCGAAACCCGGGGAGAAAACGCCUUAACAACGCGCACACCAGAGGAGACCCUUCUAAUCGAAGCAGGUUCAGAACCGAGGUGGAUCUAAAACUCCGAGAGCAUACUGGAUCCUUGAAGAAGACAACCCAUUCUGGCUGCCGGAACGACUGACACGGAGAAUUCUGACACCUGAAGAUGACUCCCGGAUGGAUCCCUUGGAAACUACCUCUAGUCCUCGUGCUACCUCUGUGGAUUUGGGUUCCUAGUAUAUUUGGAGAGUAUAGAUGGGCAAUUCUGUCUGCUUUCCCUAAGCCCAUGCCUGUCCAUCAUAAUACAGAUGUUUUUCCCAAGUUUUUUACGACCAAUAAAACUUCAGGCCUGCCAUACCUACCAUUUGACCCUAUCUGGGCACCACUGGGAGAAAAACGCUCUUUAAGGGAACGAGGUUCUUUCUGUUUCCAAAUUUAUGAAUUAGGAAAUUGUAUCAGACUCACCAGCCGAGCUUUGGGUAUGUUUUUUAAGCAUCGAGGAGGUUGGGUGAAAAUAACCCAAGACACUUCCAACAGACAUAUAACCCUUACAAAUCGGACCUUCUGGCAUGAGGCAACUUGGGUUAAUGGUAUAUUUCUACCACCUAACUUCUCAGGCAAAGAACGUCCCAAUCAAUCAAAAAUGGCUCCUCAUUGUAGCUUGGAAGAUGAAGGGCUGAUCAUGCCUUGGUCUGAUUGUCAAUCCUCUGUCACUCGUUGGGCAGAUCAGAGUAAAACCUUUUCCUUUUCUCCCAACAUGAUAGAUGACCCAGAGCAGAAAUAUGUUAUGAAAAAGGGACUUUUCAUACAGGACUUUAGAAUGCAUUCUUUUCAUAAAUGGGUACUUUGUGGGAUUAAUGGUAGCUGUACAGAUCUUAAUCCCUUGGUUUUCCUCCAAGGAGGAGCUGCUGGAAAAACGAUUUUUAGUGGUAUUUCAAAAUUUGCUCAGUUUCAUCAAGUUCUGUUACCUGAUAGAACCAUUUAUCAAAAUUCUACUACUGAAAUCACUGGAUUUAAUAAGACACUGAUAAAGCAGACUAAUUAUUUACCUACUCCAGUUUGUGUGUACACCCCUUUCUUGUUUAUUCUUUCUAAUGGUUCCUUUGAAUCCUGUACUAAUGAAACCUGCUGGAUGUCACAAUGCUGGAGCCUUAAGUGGGCCAGCCGUGCAAUGCUUGCCAAGAUUACACGAUGGGUUCCUGUCCCUGUGGAGAUCCCUUCCACCAUAACCUUACACAGGCAAAAGUGAGACUUUGGUAUCACUGCAGCCGUCGUGGUGGCAAUGGCUGCCAGUGCGGCGGCAGCUACAGCUGCUGGAUUUGCUAUGGCAACAUCAGUCCAGUCAAGUACAACUGUCGAGCAGUUGUCCUCCUCUGUGGCAGAGGCGAUCGAUCAACAUUCAGUGCUCAGUGCCCAAUUAAAAGGUGGGCUAAUGAUAGUGAACCAGCGCAUUGACCUGGUGGAGGAAAGGCUGGAAAUUCUGCUCCAAUUGGCUCAGCUUGGCUGUGAUAAGAAAUCAGGAGCCUUAUGUAUUACUAGUGUCCAAUAUGAAAAUUGGACACAUGCAGCUAAUCUAUCUAAAGAAUUGUCUUUGUUUCUUACAGGAAACUGGUCUGAAGGAUUUGAUGAAAAGCUUGAGGCGCUACGUGCAGCAGUGAUGACGAUUAAUUCUACUCGCGUGGACCCAUCAUUGAUCAAUGGAAUUAAAGGACUUUCUUCCUGGAUGUCCUCUGCAUUCUCACAUUUUAAAGAGUGGGUGGGAGUGGGCCUGUUUGGCGCAACCCUGUGUUGUGGACUAGUGUUUCUUCUAUGGCUGGUAUGCAAACUCAGAUCUCAACAGAAACGUGACAAGGUGGUAAUUGCUCAAGCACUUGCUGCCAUAGAGCAAGGCACCUCCCCUGAAAUUUGGCUAUCUAUUCUCAAGAAUUAGUUGGCAUCUGAGUUCUCUGUCUUUGCAUCCCACAAAAUUGUGGAUACAUUGCAUUGAGAUGAGAGAAACUCAACGAUCAUUGAUCAGCCCGUGCGCAUUGCUGAGGUUUCCUCAUUGCAUGUGAUAAGGUGAUCAUGAUUUCCCCACUAAUUCAUUUUUGGCUGGCCUCUUUUGUAGAGUUCACCCUAGGCCAUUUAGCAGUUAUAGUCACACAGCACUGUGGUAUCCAAAGGCAACUUUCCUCAUGCACAGACCAACCUAAGACAAUGGGGCCCGGUGGUGAUAGGGUUACCCGAUAAUGGGUCAGGCUGUGACAUUGGAGGAACGACCUAAAACAGGGGCCACAGCAGAUGGACGUAACUACAGUGGCCUAGACCAGCCUCAUUUUAAUAAAUUAUAGAGAGGGAGAUGUAAAGGGCUGCAAUAUAUGUGCCGCCACUAGAUGGUGCUAAACCUCUUUGUGCACAGCUGCAAGAGCACAGCCCGCCAAAGUCACCAGUCCGUCUCCCGGGACUUUUACCCAACCCCUGGGGGCUUUAACCUAUCCCCAGGGUGCAUGAGGAUCAUGGGUGUUGCUACCAGUCCUAGUUUAGACACGUCACCAAAAGUAUUUAAGCCACACACUUUCUGAGCCUUCCUUGUCUACUUCAAUAUGAUAUAGAAGUAAAGCUAACCACGGAA